AUAUUCCAAAUUUUGCAAGUUUUUUACCAAAAUACGAUGGUUAACUUUAUCAAAUGCCUUGGUAAAAUCUGUGUAGAUAGCAUCAACUUGGCUACCUUUAUCUACUGCUAAUGUAACAUCAUCAGUGUACUGAACUAGGUUUGUGUUUGUGGACCUCCUAGUGAUGAAGCCAUGCUGGUUUGAUGAUAGUUGGUCUCGAACUUGUCUAAACAGGUACAAUUCUCGCCUCUUUCCAAUUUGUUGGAAAAAUACCCGAUGAUAAUGAUUUAUUAAAAAUAUGGCAUAAUGGAGUUGAGAGUUGAUUGGCACAUUGAGCGAUGAAUAGAGGUGGAAUAUUGUCCGGCCCAGCACUUUUACUCUGGUCAAGAUGUUUGAGUUUGUAUCUUACAUCCCUUACGUGAACGAUGAUGUUAUUAAAUUCUUGUCCCAAUACAGUA
rnacentral:lncRNA from 1 species